rnacentral:rRNA from 1 species
UACGAAGGGAGCUAGCGUUGUUCGGAAUCACUGGGCGUAAAGCGCACGUAGGCGGACGUGUCAGUCAGGGGUGAAAUCCCGGAGCUCAACUUCGGAACUGCCUUUGAUACAGCACGUCUUGAGUCCGGAAGAGGUGGGUGGAAUUCCUAGUGUAGAGGUGAAAUUCGUAGAUAUUCGCAAGAACACCAGUGGCGAAGGCGGCUCACUGGCCCGGUACUGACGCUGAGGUGCGAAAGCGUGGGGAGCAAACAGG